UUUGUGGAAAAUCAGAAGAAAAAUACAAAAAAGAAUUUUUUAUUAAUGAAUGAGGCAAACCUCAUUUGUUUAAAAGAAACAUUACACUUGGAGUUAGUGACACCACUGGGAUUGCAUUUUCAAUAACAGUAAUUGCGUAUCCUGAGCCUCUUUAAGAAUUAAGAUACGACAAUGGAACAAGGAACACGCGGAUGGUGAGCAGUAUAAGCAGGAAUGCAGUGAAUUAUUUUACUAUUCAUUUUAAACAGACAGUUGUAGAGCAAGACGAUUAUGGAAUUUAUUAUCUCUUAGUCAGCAACGCGCUUGGAGAAAGUAUUGUGAUUUUGAAUGUGUUACCACAAAGCAUGCAGGAGUUGGUUUGGGAUUAAAAAUCAUGUCAAUUAUGAUAAAGGAGUGGCUGUAUCACCCAAAUUGACCUCCAAAAAUAUGACAGAAAAGAGCCAAUCAGAAACAGAUUCUGAAGAUGCUUUAAAUGAUAUUCCACUCACAGACACUGUAGAUGCCAGACGGAGUAAUAUCAAGCUUUCAAAGGAAGAUGAAGAAAAAAGAAUCUUCGUACAAAAUGAAAGAAUUUCAUGAGUAUGUGACAUGGCUUAAAAACACUGAUGUUACAUCAAUAGCAUCUGAUGAUGAUUUUGAAGAGGUCCAACAACUGAGGGAAGAAUUAAAAUGUAAAGUCUAAAAACUACAAGAAACUGAGGAUAUAAUGGUUUUGUGUAAAGGAUAUGAAAAGUACACCUUGGAUUUCUUUUACCCAGAGCCUUCAAUCAGUGAUCCUGCACCAUGCACCAAUGACUCACUGGUCAUGUUUGCUUCUGUGCCAGGUAAAGUUUAUUGACUAUAUUUUCUAAAAAGGUUGUAUUAAAGUACAUUUGUUGUUUUUGAUAAUAUUUUUGUCAG